GGGUUGUGAGGUUAAGCGACUAAGCGUACACGGUGGAUGCCCUGGCAGUCAGAGGCGAUGAAGGACGUGCUAAUCUGCGAUAAGCGUCGGUAAGGUGAUAUGAACCGUUAUAACCGGCGAUUUCCGAAUGGGGAAACCCAGUGUGUUUCGACACACUAUCAUUAACUGAAUCCAUAGGUUAAUGAGGCGAACCGGGGGAACUGAAACAUCUAAGUACCCCGAGGAAAAGAAAUCAACCGAGAUUCCCCCAGUAGCGGCGAGCGAACGGGGAGGAGCCCAGAGCCUGAAUCAGUGUGUGUGUUAGUGGAAGCGUCUGGAAAGGCGCGCGAUACAGGGUGACAGCCCCGUACACAAAAAUGCACAUAUUGUGAGCUCGAUGAGUAGGGCGGGACACGUGGUAUCCUGUCUGAAUAUGGGGGGACCAUCCUCCAAGGCUAAAUACUCCUGACUGACCGAUAGUGAACCAGUACCGUGAGGGAAAGGCGAAAAGAACCCCGGCGAGGGGAGUGAAAAAGAACCUGAAACCGUGUACGUACAAGCAGUGGGAGCCUCUUAAUGGGGUGACUGCGUACCUUUUGUAUAAUGGGUCAGCGACUUAUAUUCUGUAGCAAGGUUAACCGAAUAGGGGAGCCGAAGGGAAACCGAGUCUUAACUGGGCGUUAAGUUGCAGGGUAUAGACCCGAAACCCGGUGAUCUAGCCAUGGGCAGGUUGAAGGUUGGGUAACACUAACUGGAGGACCGAACCGACUAAUGUUGAAAAAUUAGCGGAUGACUUGUGGCUGGGGGUGAAAGGCCAAUCAAACCGGGAGAUAGCUGGUUCUCCCCGAAAGCUAUUUAGGUAGCGCCUCGUGAAUUCAUCUCCGGGGGUAGAGCACUGUUUCGGCAAGGGGGUCAUCCCGACUUACCAACCCGAUGCAAACUGCGAAUACCGGAGAAUGUUAUCACGGGAGACACACGGCGGGUGCUAACGUCCGUCGUGAAGAGGGAAACAACCCAGACCGCCAGCUAAGGUCCCAAAGUCAUGGUUAAGUGGGAAACGAUGUGGGAAGGCCCAGACAGCCAGGAUGUUGGCUUAGAAGCAGCCAUCAUUUAAAGAAAGCGUAAUAGCUCACUGGUCGAGUCGGCCUGCGCGGAAGAUGUAACGGGGCUAAACCAUGCACCGAAGCUGCGGCAGCGACACUAUGUGUUGUUGGGUAGGGGAGCGUUCUGUAAGCCUGUGAAGGUAGCCUGUGAGGGUUGCUGGAGGUAUCAGAAGUGCGAAUGCUGACAUAAGUAACGAUAAAGCGGGUGAAAAGCCCGCUCGCCGGAAGACCAAGGGUUCCUGUCCAACGUUAAUCGGGGCAGGGUGAGUCGACCCCUAAGGCGAGGCCGAAAGGCGUAGUCGAUGGGAAACAGGUUAAUAUUCCUGUACUUGGUGUUACUGCGAAGGGGGGACGGAGAAGGCUAUGUUGGUCGGGCGACGGUUGUCCCGGUUUAAGCGUGUAGGCUGGUUUUCCAGGCAAAUCCGGAAAACAAAAGGCUGAGNNNNNNNNNNNNNNNNNNNNNNNNNNNNNNNNNNNNNNNNNNNNNNNNNNNNNNNNNNNNNNNNNNNNNNNNNNNNNNNNNNNNNNNNNNNNNNNNNNNNNNNNNNNNNNNNNNNNNNNNNNNNNNNNNNNNNNNNNNNNNNNNGCACUACGGUGCUUGACAAAUGCCCUGCUUCCAGGAAAAGCCUCUAAGCAUCAGGUAACAUCAAAUCGUACCCCAAACCGACACAGGUGGUCAGGUAGAGAAUACCAAGGCGCUUGAGAGAACUCGGGUGAAGGAACUAGGCAAAAUGGUGCCGUAACUUCGGGAGAAGGCACGCUGAUAUGUAGGUGAAGCGACUUGCUCGUGGAGCUGAAAUCAGUCGAAGAUACCAGCUGGCUGCAACUGUUUAUUAAAAACACAGCACUGUGCAAACACGAAAGUGGACGUAUACGGUGUGACGCCUGCCCGGUGCCGGAAGGUUAAUUGAUGGGGUUAGCGGUAACGCGAAGCUCUUGAUCGAAGCCCCGGUAAACGGCGGCCGUAACUAUAACGGUCCUAAGGUAGCGAAAUUCCUUGUCGGGUAAGUUCCGACCUGCACGAAUGGCGUAAUGAUGGCCAGGCUGUCUCCACCCGAGACUCAGUGAAAUUGAACUCGCUGUGAAGAUGCAGUGUACCCGCGGCAAGACGGAAAGACCCCGUGAACCUUUACUAUAGCUUGACACUGAACAUUGAGCCUUGAUGUGUAGGAUAGGUGGGAGGCUUUGAAGUGUGGACGCCAGUCUGCAUGGAGCCGACCUUGAAAUACCACCCUUUAAUGUUUGAUGUUCUAACGUUGGCCCGUAAUCCGGGUUGCGGACAGUGUCUGGUGGGUAGUUUGACUGGGGCGGUCUCCUCCUAAAGAGUAACGGAGGAGCACGAAGGUUGGCUAAUCCUGGUCGGACAUCAGGAGGUUAGUGCAAUGGCAUAAGCCAGCUUGACUGCGAGCGUGACGGCGCGAGCAGGUGCGAAAGCAGGUCAUAGUGAUCCGGUGGUUCUGAAUGGAAGGGCCAUCGCUCAACGGAUAAAAGGUACUCCGGGGAUAACAGGCUGAUACCGCCCAAGAGUUCAUAUCGACGGCGGUGUUUGGCACCUCGAUGUCGGCUCAUCACAUCCUGGGGCUGAAGUAGGUCCCAAGGGUAUGGCUGUUCGCCAUUUAAAGUGGUACGCGAGCUGGGUUUAGAACGUCGUGAGACAGUUCGGUCCCUAUCUGCCGUGGGCGCUGGAGAACUGAGGGGGGCUGCUCCUAGUACGAGAGGACCGGAGUGGACGCAUCACUGGUGUUCGGGUUGUCAUGCCAAUGGCACUGCCCGGUAGCUAAAUGCGGAAGAGAUAAGUGCUGAAAGCAUCUAAGCACGAAACUUGCCCCGAGAUGAGUUCUCCCUGACUCCUUGAGAGUCCUGAAGGAACGUUGAAGACGACGACGUUGAUAGGCCGGGUGUGUAAGCGCAGCGAUGCGUUGAGCUAACCGGUACUAAUGAACCGUGAGGCUUAACCUUACAACGCCGAAG
rnacentral:rRNA from 1 species